UACGUAGGGACCAAGCGUUGUCCGGAAUCAUUGGGCGUAAAGGGUGCGUAGGCGGCGGAGUAAGUUGGGUGUGAACUCCCGGGACGUUAACCUCGGAAUUGCAUUCAAUACUGCUUCGCUCGAGUGACUGGAGAGGAGGCUGGAAUUUAACGGUGUAGCAGUGAAAUGCGUAGAUAGUCGAUAAGGAAGCCGGUGGCGAAAGCGAGCCUCUGGACAGUUACUGGACGCGAAUGCAC
rnacentral:rRNA from 1 species